GGACGGGUGAGGAAUACAUCGGAAUCUACUCUGUCGUGGGGGAUAACGUAGGGAAACUUACGCUAAUACCGCAUACGACCUACGGGUGAAAGCAGGGGAUCUUCGGACCUUGCGCGAUUGAAUGAGCCGAUGUCGGAUUAGCUAGUUGGCGGGGUAAAGGCCCACCAAGGCGACGAUCCGUAGCUGGUCUGAGAGGAUGAUCAGCCACACUGGAACUGAGACACGGUCCAGACUCCUACGGGAGGCAGCAGUGGGGAAUAUUGGACAAUGGGCGCAAGCCUGAUCCAGCCAUACCGCGUGGGUGAAGAAGGCCUUCGGGUUGUAAAGCCCUUUUGUUGGGAAAGAAAUCCAUCUGGCUAAUACCCGGGUGGGAUGACGGUACCCAAAGAAUAAGCACCGGCUAACUUCGUGCCAGCAGCCGCGGUAAUACGAAGGGUGCAAGCGUUACUCGGAAUUACUGGGCGUAAAGCGUGCGUAGGUGGUCGUUUAAGUCCGUUGUGAAAGCCCUGGGCUCAACCUGGGAACUGCAGUGGAUACUGGGCGACUAGAAUGUGGUAGAGGGUAGCGGAAUUCCUGGUGUAGCAGUGAAAUGCGUAGAGAUCAGGAGGAACAUCCAUGGCGAAGCCAGCUACCUGGACCAACAUUGACACUGAGGCACGAAAGCGUGGGGGAGCAAACAGGAUUAGAUACCCUGGGUUAGUCCACGCCCUAAACGAUGCGAACUGGAUGUUGGGGUGCAAUUUGGCACGCAGUAUCGAAGCUAACGCGUUAAGUUCGCCGCCUGGGGAGUACGGUCGCAAGACUGAAACUCAAAGGAAUUGAC
rnacentral:rRNA from 1 species